UACGUAGGGCGCAAGCGUUGUCCGGAAUUAUUGGGCGUAAAGAGCUCGUAGGCGGCUUGUCACGUCUGCUGUGAAAUCCCGGGGCUCAACCCCGGGCGUGCAGUGGAUACGGGCUGGCUAGAGGCAGGCAGGGGAGAACGGAAUUCCCUGUGUAGCGGUGAAAUGCGCAGAUAUCAGGAGGAACACCGGUGGCGAAGGCGGGUCUCUGGGCCGAUACUGACGCUGAGGAGCGAAAGCGUGGGGAGCGAACAGG
rnacentral:rRNA from 1 species